GCCGACUGUAUGUGUUACAUCUCUUCGUCUUUGGUGUAAUUUUGUUUGGAGAAACCUCAAAAAUCUCAAGCCAAAGUAUAAAGACUCAAAAUAUUCAUCAUUGAUCCUGCUGAACCUGAGAGUGAUCUGGAAGAGACCAGGAAAGCAGCAAAAUGCUUCCGCAAAUACUUUAGGUUUAAUUUAAACGGACAAAAGGAUUGGUUGACCUUGGCAUGGAAACCUUCCACCAUUUCCCACUCAACACAGAGAGAUGGAACUAGCAGUGGAGUCAUUGUCAUGGAGUUGAAGUAAACCAUCUCAAACCGCCACUAAUAUAUUCACAAAUUCACAAAGUUAAGACGGCAAUACAAAUAAUCCAAAGCUUUCCAGCAAUUCCAAAGGAACUCAAUAUCGAUUCUGAAUGCAAAAACAUUGCACGUUUAAGAGAAG
ensembl:lncRNA